rnacentral:rRNA from 1 species
CGCUGGCGGCGUGCCUAACACAUGCAAGUCGAACGGAGUUAAGGAGCUUGCUUCUAACUAGUGGCGGACGGGUGAGUAACGCGUGAGUAACCUGCCUCUGAGAGGGGAAUAACGUUCUGAAAAGAAACGCUAAUACCGCAUAACAUAUAACUGCCGACAUGACAGAUAUAUCAAAGAUUUAUCGCUCGGAGAUGGACUCGCGUCCGAUUAGUUAGUUGGUGAGGUAACGGCUCACCAAGACCGCGAUCGGUAGCCGGACUGAGAGGUUGAACGGCCACAUUGGGACUGAGACACGGCCCAGACUCCUACGGGAGGCAGCAGUGGGGGAUAUUGCGCAAUGGGGGCAAACCCCUGACGCAGCAACGCCGCGUGAGGAUGAAGGUUUUCGGAUUGUAAACUUCUUUUAUUAAGGACGAAGAAUGACGGUACUUAAUGAAUAAGCUCCGGCUAACUACGUGCCAGCAGCCGC